ensembl:lncRNA
AGUUGAAGGACAUAAGUCACCCAACAAUGGAUGACCAGAAUCAGACUUUUCUCCAGUCCUCUUCUUGUUGGUUAAUGGCCACCCACCUACUACCAACUGCAAGUUGAAGAGCUUUGGGAGUAGUUUGUCCAGAAGGUCCACUGCGCCUAGAACCUUCUGGGAGGUCGAGCACCCGAAAAGAGGCUGCCAUGCCUGAAGGAGGACGAAGCUGCGCUCAAAAGAGAUUGAGAUGUUCAUACAAUUAAUCAGCUACGUCUUUGUGUUGUGUAUCACGGUGUCUAAUUUCCAGAGGAAAGAUCACUUUCAAACCACAUAAAUGAUGAUGCUUUUGGGAAAAAAGACAGCAAAAAGGAAAACCCAUCUCUCCUCAAUGUAAAGAUUUCACUAUGAACUCACCUAUUGUUUUUAUUUUACACCCACAGUCUUGAUGCUUAUUAUCUCUGAAAUCAUUUCAGUUUCCAAAAAUUAUCUGAAACACUCCUACAUCUGGGGCUUUUGAUAAACAGUCCAACUUCUACAGACAGAAACAGUUGUGCAUGUGUGUGUGUGUGUGUGUGUGCAAACGCACGAUGUGUUUGAGAGACAGAAGGAUGAGUUUAAGGGAGAGGGAAAAAGUGAUGGCACCCUUCUG